UACGUAGGGCGCAAGCGUUGUCCGGAAUUAUUGGGCGUAAAGAGCUCGUAGGCGGUUUGUCGCGUCUGCUGUGAAAACCUCAGGCUCAACCUGGGGCUUGCAGUGGGUACGGGCAGACUAGAGUGCGGUAGGGGUGACUGGAAUUCCUGGUGUAGCGGUGGAAUGCGCAGAUAUCAGGAGGAACACCCGGUGGGCGAAGGCGGGGUCUCUGGGCAGUAACUGACGCUGGAGGAGCGAAAAGCGUGGGGAGCGAACAGG
rnacentral:rRNA from 1 species